rnacentral:rRNA from 1 species
GUAGGUGGUGCGGCAAGUUGGAAGUGAAAUCUCUGGGCUUAACCCAGAGGCUGCUUUCAAAACUGCCGUGCUCGAGUGCGAGAGAGGCCAGUGGAAUUGCAGGUGUAGCGGUGAAAUGCGUAGAUAUCUGCAGGAACACCCGUGGCGAAGGCGGCUGGCUGGAUCGCAACUGACACUGAGGAACGAAAGCUAGGGGAGCAAACAGGAUUAGAUACCCUGGUAGUCCUAGCCCUAAACCAUCAGGACUUGGGGUGGCCCGCGUAGGCGGGUCGUCCCGUAGCUAACGCGUUAAGUCCUGCGCCUGGGGAGUACGGUCGCAAGACUGAAACUCAAAGGAAUUGACGGGGGCCCGCACAAGCGGUGGAACAUGUGGUUCAAUUCGACGCAACGCGAAGAACCUUACCUGGGCUUGAACCGCUACUGACCAACGGUAGAAAUAUCGUCUUCCCGCAAGGGACAGUAGUAGAGGUGCUGCAUGGCUGUCGUCAGCUCGUGCCGUGAGGUGUUGGGUUAAGUCCCGCAACGAGCGCAACCCUUACUCGUAGUUGCUACCCGCAAGGGAGAACUCUACGAGGACUGCUCCGGAUAACGGAGAGGAAGGUGGGGAUGACGUCAAGUCAGCACGGCCUUUAUGUCCAGGGCUACACACGUGUUACAAUGCAUGGUACAGACUGUUGCGAACCCGCGAGGGGGAGCUAAUCGGCCAAAACCAUGCUCAGUUCGGAUUGCAGUCUGCAACUCGGCUGCAUGAAGCUGGAAUCGCUAGUAAUGGCGUAUCAGAUCGACGCCGUGAAUACGUUCCCGGGCCUUGUACACACCGCCCGUCACAUCACGAAAGCGAGCUGUACUAGAAG